UACGUAGGAGGCAAGCGUUGUCCGGAAUUACUGGGCUUAAAGCGUGUGUAGGCGGAUCGUUAAGUACCUUGUGAAAUCCCACGGCUCACCCGUGGAACUGCUGGGUAUACUGGCGGUCUUGGGCCAACUAGGGGCAGCUGGAACAAGCGGUGGAGCGGUGAAAUGCGUAGAUAUCGUUUGGAACGCCAAUGGUGAAAACAGGUUGCUGGGAGUGUGCUGACGCUGAGACACGAAAGCCAGGGGAGCAAACGGG
rnacentral:rRNA from 1 species